rnacentral:lncRNA from 1 species
GAUAACUUGGAGCUAACAUACAAUAAUCCAAUAAUACAAUACACGCUUGGGAUUUCAGUAUUAAGAUUUAUUCACAAAUAACAACAAUCUGAAACUAAAUAAUAAUGAAAUUAAAUCGGUAUGUUUACAUAUAUUAAAUUAGUACUAAAUCACAAAAAUGAAUUAACUAAAGCUUUCUACUUACAUCUGUCCUAAGCAAGUAUCCUUUUCCUUUUAUCUUAACAUUUAACAAUAAUAAACCUUACUUAAAACUUUAUAAACUUCAUAAAACCAUACGAAAACGUGUUCAAAACAUUUCUACAAGCUCAUCACAUUUUUCCUGCGAACCCUUCCGACUAAGGUCCGAGUAAACUCCGACUAACUAAAACAUUAAAAUAGUCUUACAUGAAGUCCUUUCAUCGUCAAUGAAACACUCCCCCCGACAAUGGGAGAAUUCCCAUUCACUCCUCUUCGUAGCCUUCUGCUGGAUAAAUUACGCAUAUCUUGUUGAUAGGUCGGCUGUAGGUUCCCGUAGCAGUUUUCACCUUCACAUUCCUGACCAACCCGUCCUCUCGCUGAUAGACUUCCACGAUCUUUCCGGUGUUCCACUUUCCCCUUACUGCGUUUGGCUCGGACACUAUAACAUAAUCGUUCACCGUUACAUUACGAGUCUGCGUAUUCCAUUUUCUUCGUGGGGUUAAUAGCGGUAGGGCGUCUCUUGACCACUUCUUCCAAAAAGCAUCAAUAAUUCUCUGACAAAACUCGAAUCGGUGGCGAGGAUUUUGUGUUUCUCGGAACGGACCUUGAGGCACAGCGUUCGUAGCUCUGCCCAAUAGUAUAUCGUUUGGACAUAGGUAUCCGCCAUCAUCCGGAUCUGUUGGUACUCUUCCAAUCGGCCGUUGGUUAACCAAAUUCGCAGCUUCCAAAACGCACGUGUAUAGCUCGAAUGGUGUUAAAAGGGCGUCGCCGAUUGCUCUCUUCAUUGCUAGCUUCACACUUUUUACCAUCGCCUCAGAGCAUCCAUUUUGAUGCGGUGCCAAUGGUGUGAUGAAUUGCCAUUUCAUUCCUCUGGCUGCGCAAAAUUCUUCCAAUUGAUCUUUGUUCCAUCCUUCGAUCAUUAACUUCAAUUCGUUGUUUGCUCCUACCAUCUGCGUUCCGUUGUCAGAUAAGAGCACUUUCGGAUAACCACGGAAUGAAAAGAACCUUCUUAAGACUUGCAAGAGCUCCAUCGUGCUGGCAUCAACUGCAAUCUCGCAAUGGAUGGCUCUGGUAUUCAUGCACGUGAAUACUACACCAUAAUGUUUAACUGUUUUGUUUCUGCCUACUUUUACGUUGAUUGGUCCAAAGUAAUCCAUCGUUGAGUAGAGGAACGGUGGGGUGCACGGCUGCAAACGAAAUGGUGGCAGGAUAGCCAUGAGCUGGGUUUCAACUUUCGCUUCGAGCUUUCGACAUGUUGUGCACCGUUGCUUGACGACUUUCGCAAUCCUAUGAGCUUUGAUGACCCAAUACAUUCUACGUAUUUUGGCGACUGUCGUGGCGACACCAGAAUGACUUGUUUCGUGAGCAUCACGGACUAUUAAGGUGGACAGAUAGUGAUCAUAUGGUAAAAGUGCGGGACGUCUUUCAUCGUAGGAAACUAAGGUUGGAUCCACACGACCUCCUACCCUGAGGAUAUUUCUAUCGUCCUUAUAUGGAGACAGGGUCUUGAAAUCGCCUCUAGGUAAUCUCUUUAAGAGAUUUGACUGCAUCUGUUUUAGCCAGUACUUCUCCGCGUUUUCCAAUUCUUGAUUGGUUAAUGGACCAACUUCUGGUUGUUGAUUUCUCUCAUUUCGACCACACUUGAUUCGACAAUUCUGGAUAAAUCUCUGGAUGUAACUCGUGAUCCUUAUUACUCGUUUUCACUUCGAGAACCGUUUACAGUCGAAUAACGGCUUGCUGACAGCGACAGGACAUACGAUCUUGACUUGUCUCCUUUCUUUGUUAACUUCUUUUCUUUCUGGUACGCCAGUUUCCAUCGGCCAUUGCUCCUCGGGUAACUGUAUAAACACCGGACCGUUUAACCAUCUACCAUUCACUUCUUCAGCCGAAAUACCUUUCGUUAAAUUUUCCGCCACGUUCAUUGCAGUGGGACAAUGGAGCCAGUUGGAAGGGUCGGAGUUUGAUUGAAUCUCACUAACUCGGCAAGA